rnacentral:rRNA from 1 species
AGAGCGAACGCUGGCGGCAGGCCUAACACAUGCAAGUCGAGCGCCCGUAGCAAUACGGGAGCGGCAGACGGGAUAGUAACACGUGGGAACGCGCCCUUCGGUUCGGAAUAACUCAGGGAAACUUGAGCUAAUACCGGAUACGCCCUUACGGGGAAAGAUUUAUUGCCGAAGGAACGGCCCGCGUCCGAUUAGCUAGUUGGUGAGGUAAUGGCUCACCAAGGCGACGAUCGGUAGCUGGUCUGAGAGGAUGACCAGCAUCACUGGGACUGAGACACGGCCCAGACUCCUACGGGAGGCAGCAGUGGGGAAUAUUGGACAAUGGGCGCAAGCCUGAUCCAGCCAUGCCGCGUGGAUGAUGAAGGCCUUAGGGUUGUAAAGCUCUUUCACCCUACGACGAUAAUGACGGUAGUGGGAGAAGAAGCCCGGCUAACUUCGUGCCAGCAGCCGC